rnacentral:rRNA from 1 species
GAUGAACGCUGGCGGCGUGCCUAAUACAUGCAAGUCGAGCGAACAGACGAUGAGCUUGCUCCUUCGACGUUAGCGGCUGACGGGUGAGUGACACGUAGAUCACCUACUUCUUUUACUGGGAUGACUUCGUGGAACCGGUUCUAAUACCGGAUCAUAUUUCGAACCGCAUGAUUCGAUAGUUCAUGAUGGCUUUGCUAUCACUUAUAGAUGGACCUGCGCCGUAUUAGCUAGUUGGUAAGGUAACGGCUUACCAAGGCAACGAUACGUAGCUGACCUGAGAGGAUGAUCGGCCACACUGGAACUGAGACACGGUCCAGACUCCUACGGGAGGCAGCAGUAGGGAAUAUUGGACAAUGGGCGAAAGCCUGAUGCAGCCACACCGCGUGAGUGAAGAAGGUCUUCGGGUCGUAAAACCCUGUUAUUAGGGAAGAACAAACGUGUAAGUAACUGUGCAUGUUCUGACGGUACCUAAUGAGAAAGCCACGGCUAACUACGUG